rnacentral:tRNA from 1 species
GGGUGGAGCUCAGUGGUAGAGCAUGUGCUCAGCAUGCACGAGGCCCCGGGUUCAAUCCCCAGUCCCUCCA